rnacentral:rRNA from 1 species
CAACAGGGAUUGCCCCAGUAACGGCGAGUGAAGCGGCAACAGCUCAAAUUUGAAAUCUGGCUCUCGGGCCCGAGUUGUAAUUUGUAGAGGAUGCUUUUGGUGAGGUGCCUUCCGAGUUCCCUGGAACGGGACGCCAUAGAGGGUGAGAGCCCCGUCUGGUCGGACACCGAUCCUCUGUAAAGCUCCUUCGACGAGUCGAGUAGUUUGGGAAUGCUGCUCUAAAUGGGAGGUAUAUGUCUUCUAAAGCUAAAUACCGGCCAGAGACCGAUAGCGCACAAGUAGAGUGAUCGAAAGAUGAAAAGAACUUUGAAAAGAGAGUUAAACAGUACGUGAAAUUGUUGAAAGGGAAGCGCUUGUGACCAGACUUGGGCUUGGUUGAUCAUCCGGGGUUCUCCCCGGUGCACUCUUCCGGCUCAGGCCAGCAUCAGUUCGCCCUGGGGGACAAAGGCUUCGGGAAUGUGGCUCUCUCCGGGGAGUGUUAUAGCCCGCUGCGUAAUACCCUGUGGCGGACUGAGGUUCGCGCAUUCGCAAGGAU